rnacentral:rRNA from 1 species
AUUGAACGCUGGCGGCAUGCUUUACACAUGCAAGUCGAACGGUAACAGGCCGCAAGGUGCUGACGAGUGGCGAACGGGUGAGUAAUGCAUCGGAACGUGCCCAGUCGUGGGGGAUAACUACUCGAAAGAGUAGCUAAUACCGCAUACGAUCUAUGGAUGAAAGCGGGGGACCGUAAGGCCUCGCGCGAUUGGAGCGGCCGAUGUCAGAUUAGGUAGUUGGUGGGGUAAAGGCUCACCAAGCCAACGAUCUGUAGCUGGUCUGAGAGGACGACCAGCCACACUGGGACUGCGACACGGCCCAGACUCCUACGGGAGGCAGCAGUGGGGAAUUUUGGACAAUGGGCGCAAGCCUGAUCCAGCAAUGCCGCGUGCAGGAAGAAGGCCUUCGGGUUGUAAACUGCUUUUGUACGGAACGAAACGGCUCUGGUUAAUACCCGGGGCUAAUGACGGUACCGUAAGAAUAAGCACCGGCUAACUACGUG